UAGCCUUUUGAGUUUUUAUUAAAGGUGGUUUCUGCUCGGUGCUUUUAAACAGCCGCGGUAAUUUGACCGUGCGAAGGUAGCAUAAUCAUUUGCUCUAUAAUUUAGGGCUUGUAUGAAUGGAUUUACAAAGGUUUUUCUGUCUUAGAAGAAUGUUUAGAAUUUGUUUUUAUUGUGAGGAAACAAUAAUUUUGUAAGGGGACAAGAAGACCCUUUUGAUCUUGACUUUUUGAGAAUAAGUGUUUUUAGAAAAGUUUGAUUGGGGCGAUCGAGGAAGAAGAAAAUCUUCCUUUUUAUAAUACAUGUGGUCCAAAAUUUUUGAUGAAAGGACUAAGUUACCAAAGGGAUAACAGCGUUAUUUUUUUUGUGAGUUCUUAUUAAAAAAAAAGAUUGCGACCUCGAUGUUGACUUAUAAUUUCCUUUAGGUGCAGUAACUAUAUGGGAGGGUCUGUUCGACCUUUAAAUUUUU
rnacentral:rRNA from 1 species